rnacentral:rRNA from 1 species
AUGCUCGAAGGCAUAGUUUUUGCUUUGGCUGAGUUAAAAAAAUGUCCAAAGUGUUCAUCCACGAGGUGCACUACUAAUGAUCUGUUGCCAAAUUUGUCACUUCGUAAGGCCAUCAAACAUUUUCUUGAUGACCCAGGACCUAUCUAUGCACCUGAUGUAGGAUCAUGUGUAGAAGAAAAGGAGUCAUCAUGUCCAUUGUCGAUUCACCAACAAGAACAAAACUUGCUUUGUUCUCCAUCUGCCACUGGAAAAGACUUCAAUCAGCUCAUACCAAUUGUAAAGGUGAUUGAAAAAAGCUCCAGUAUUAAAAUCUGUCUAGAUGGAAAUAAACCAACUGAAACAGCUUCAACACUCCCCCGAGAAGCACCUAGGAAUUCUGAUUUUCAAGGAAGUGCAAGCUCCUCAAAGGUGUACCAAAAUAUCGCACAAGAUAGUGGUGACUUGCGUACUGUUGAAGCCAAAGCAUUGAGGAUAAGUUCUUGGGAUGGAAGAGGAUUUACCACACCAGCGAUAAGGGCAAGAAAGGGUGGGCGAACUUGUUACAGGUGCGGGUCUCCAAAUCACCUGAUCAGAUAUUGUCCGGUUGCAUCAAAUGUACAAUCAGAAGAUAGUGCACUCCACGGAGAUCCAUAUGGUCGACCUAAUUGGCAGGGUUCUAUGUUUCACCCUCUUCUGCCAUAUGGUAAUAUGCAUGGCACACCUGAGAUCAUUCCAUUUGAUCCAGGAGUUGUCCCGGUCUCACCUUUUGGAGUUCCUCCAUAUAUGCCAUCAUUUUAUGGAGGCAUGCAGAAUCCAUAUGCUUUUAUGGGAAUGAGAGGUAUGCCGUCUCCAAUGCUACUGGGGGUACAACUACCCUUGUCAUAUACAGGAUUGGGUAUUCAUGAUAAUGUUAAGAGUCAGAAUGCUCCAAGUGAAAGGGGAGUGAGGGAGAAUGACUAUGACAGUAAUUCAGCGGAUUAUCAUGAUGAGGAUGGUAGAACAUCACAAGAGCAAUAUCAACCAGAAAAGAGUUAUGAAAGGGGUUACCAUGAAAGUAACACAACAGUUCAAAAAAGGCACCACAAGGAUAAAUAUUGUAGCCCUACCCAUGAGAAUCUGUGUUAUUCAUCAGAUGUCGAAUUAGUUGAUCAGAAACAUCGAAAGGAAUUGGGCUCAUAUGGAAGAGAAAUGAGGAGCCACUACACCAAGCAAUCUACUUCCGAAGUGCAUGACAUCCCUAACAUCUCUAUCCACGAUACUAGGCAGAUGAACAAGCAGCAUGAUAGAAGUGCUUCAGGAAAAAGAGAUGAAAUUAGGGCAAAAGGCAAAAGUGAGUACACUGAAAAUACUCGUCAUCAAAGUCAUAAAGAAAAUAUUCGCGUGGAUAGGUCAGAUGACAGGGCACAAAUCUAG